GAGUUUGAUCGUGGCUCAGAGCGAACGCUGGCGGCAGGCCUAACACAUGCAAGUCGAGCGCCCGUAGCAAUACGGGAGCGGCAGACGGGAGAGUAACACGUGGGAACGCGCCCUUCGGUUCGGAAUAACUCAGGGAAACUUGAGCUAAUACCGGAUACGCCCUUACGGGGAAAGAUUUAUUGCCGAAGGAACGGCCCGCGUCCGAUUAGCUUGUUGGUGAGGUAAUGGCUCACCAAGGCGACGAUCGGUAGCUGGUCUGAGAGGAUGACCAGCCUCACUGGGACUGAGACACGGCCCAGACUCCUACGGGAGGCAGCAGUGGGGAAUAUUGGACAAUGGGCGCAAGCCUGAUCCAGCCAUGCCGCGUGGAUGAUGAAGGCCCUAGGGUUGUAAAGUCCUUUUAACGGGGAAGAUAAUGACGGUACCCGUAGAAUAAGCCCCGGCUAACUUCGUGCCAGCAGCCGCAGU
rnacentral:rRNA from 1 species